GGGGGGGCACGCUGCUGGCCUGCUCGGCCUUCACAAAACACCGGGAGCGGGGAGUGGAGCACAGGACGCACACAAAAUGGGCAGACACCCGGGGGGAGGGCGGGGGAGGGGAACAAAGGCAGCCCAGCCGCCAAGCAAUCCCAGCAUGGGGCCGUGCUGCACCACGCAGACAUCCCCUGAGAGACCUCACUGCUCCUUGGGAUUCGUCCCCAUAACCCUGCACCUGGGGCUGCACUGCCCACGCUACGCCUCACUCCCAGCCUGCUCCUGGUGCCUGCACACACUCUCCUGGGACGCCUUUGGUGCAAGGUCUGACUGAGUCCAGGUCUACUGCAGCCAGGAGAUAUAAGAGGUUCAAAGGCCUUGGGAGAACGGUCCCUAUUUCCCAUGGGCGGUGGCUCUGGCCGUGAUUCUGCCCCUUGUCGUUCUCCUGGGCAGUUUCUGCCUCUGGCGGCAGCACCGUGUGAAAGAGAGGCGCCGUGCAGACAAAGGUAACUUU